CCGGCUACCUCCGAAUGGGAAAACCCAGUGUGAUUCGUCAUCUUAUAACUAACUGAUGCCAUAGGUUAAAGGGGCGAUGCGGAGGAACUGAAAUCUAUGAGGAACACGAGGAAAAGCACUCAGCCGAUAUAACCACAGGAGGGGGGAGAGAACGUGGUGCAGGCCAGGGCCGGAAUCAGUGUGUGGGUUGCGGGAAGCGUCUGGAAAGGCG
rnacentral:rRNA from 1 species